rnacentral:lncRNA from 1 species
AGAACCACUAAAUGAAUUCAAUAAAGUUAUAGGAUAUAAAACCAAUACACAAAAAUCUGUUGUGUUUCUAUUCAAUAAUAAUAAACUAUCAGAGAGAUUAAGAAAACAAUACCAUUUGUAAUUACACCAAAGAGAUUAACAUACCCAGAAAUAAAUUUAACUAAGGAGGUAAAAGAUCUAUAUAUUGAAGACUGUAAGACAUUAAUGAAAGAAACUGAAGACAAGUAAAUGGAGAUAUUCAAUGUUCACGAAUUGGAAGAAUUCAUAUUGUUAAAAUGUCCAUACUACUUGAAGCAAUCUACAGAUUCAAUGAAAUUCCUGUUAAGAUUCCAAUGACUUGGGAUCCCUGGAUGGCGCAGAGGUUUAGCGCCUGCCUUUGGCCCAGGGCGUGAUUCUGGAGACCCGGGAUCAAAUCCCACGUCGGGCUCCCGGUACAUGGAGCCUGCUUCACCUUCUGCCUAUGUCUCUGCCUCUCUCUCUCUCUCUCUCUGUGACUAUCAUAAAUAAAUAAAAAUUAAAAAAAAAAAAAGAUUCCAAUGACUUGGGAAACUUUUGCAUUGGGUGGGAAAUGGAAUCAUGGAUUCAACAGGCCAUAGUGGCACACUCACUCUUUGUCCUUUCACUUUGCAUCAGUACCUAUUGUUUCUCCUUUCAAGAAUAGGAUUUUUUCCAUCUGAAAGAAUUAUCCUAGAAUAAAAUUUUAAAAAUUCCAAUGUCAGCUUCAGUUGAGAAACAGCCUUCUGCAGUCUCCUCUGCAAAUGGGCUCCAUGGCCAUCCCCACCACUUGUGAUCACCCACCAAGGCCUGCAUGGUGUCACCGCCGAGGUUUCCACCAGCCCACAAGUGACAGCAGCUCACUCCUGGCUAUUGCUGGUGCCAACUAGGCUCCACUUCCAAUAACUGCUUCUGCAGAAGUGCAGAGUAGGCUGGGGAAGCCAUCCCUCACCACCCAAGUCUCUGCAAGGCUGACCUGGGUCACUGGUGGGCAAGCUUCUUUUUCAGGAAGUCCGCUUUCCCAUUCAUGGCUACAGUGUUCAAGUCCCCAGAAAGUUCAGAAUCUUCUCAGGCCUCCAAUAGCAUGAUCACCUGUAACUUGUUCUGGGAGCCAUGAGGAAGCAGCCUGGUGGCCAGCCUGGCAAAGCCAACACCAGGCUCCAGGAGGUGCUAGGCCCAUCAGUGAGUGCCCUUCCAUUCCCCUCCUCUCCUUCCCCUUAGAUUAGGCAGGCUGCACCAAGCAGAAGCAGUUGGGUUCUUUUAUAUCAAAAUAGUAAAACACCAAAAGGAAGAUGAGAGAAUCCCAUUCUUUUUUUUUUUUUUUUCCCAUUCUUUUUUAUCUAAGCCAUCCACAAGCCUUCCUGAUACCCUGGAACCAUGUGCCUUGCACCAAGUGAAAAAUAAACUCCAAGCAGCCAUUUGAAAAAAAAAAUUCUAAUGGCAUUUUUCACAGAAAUAGAACAAUUUUAAAAUUUGCAUAGAACCAUAAAAGACCCUGAAUAGACAAAGGAAUCUUGAAAAAGAAGACCAAAGCUGAAGUCAUCAUGCUCCUUGAUUUCAAACUAUAUUAUAAAAUUACAGUAAUUAAGAGUAUGUCAUUGGCAUAACAUUCACAUAGAACAGUGAAACAAAAUAGCCCAGAAAAAAGCCCACCCAUAUAUGGCCAAUUAAUUUAUGACAAAGGACCCAAGAAUAUAUAGUGGGAAAAAGUCUCUUCUAUAAAGGUGUUGGGAAAAGUAGACAGUCAUAUGCAAAAUAAUGAACCUGGACCACUAUGUUAUACCAUAUACAAAGAUUUGGAUUAGACUUGAAUGUGAGGCCUGAAAUGUAAAACUCCCAAAAGAAAACCCAGGCAGUAAGCCUCUUGAUGUAGGUCUUGGCAGUGAUUUCUUGAAUCUGAUACCAAAAGCAAAAGUAAAUAAGUGGGCCUGCAUCAAAUUAAAAAGCUUUUGCAGACCAAAGGAAACUAUCAACAAAAUGAAAAGGCAACAUAUAGAAUGGGAAAAGAUAUUUGCAAAUCACAUUAUCUGAUUAAUGUCUAAUAUCCAAAAUACAUAAGGAACUCAUACUACUCAAUAGCAAGACAAAAAAAAAAAAAAAAA